AAAAAAUUGUAUAUAAAAUAAAUACUAAAUAUAAUUGCAGAACACAUUGCAUUGCUACUCAAAAUUCCCAUAUAAAAAUGUAGAAUUUAUUUAUUUAGCAAAAACUUUUCCCUCUACCUCGUUCUUUUUUUUAUACCGUAAGUUAUCUCUUAUCAAUUUUCAAGCAAUCAAGUGACUACCACUUAAAGCUUUUAUAAGAAAAUUCAAAACUAGCAAAUUCAUUGUGAUGUCGACUUAUGUGUUAAAAAUAUUACUGUCACGAUGGUCGGAAAAUUAUGAUUGAAUAAAAAAAUCGCUGGUCAAAUGAACCCAUUUCGAGUCGAUUGAGGUCAUCCAGACGGCCUGUGACGAAGGUACUCGCGGACAUCCCAGUCGAAGCGUUCCACAAAUGUUACGAAGCAUGGGAAACGCGCUGGAAUCUUUGUAUAGCUGCCCACAGGGACUAAUUUUGAAGGGAAUGGCAGAGUUGUAGAAUAAUUUUGAAAUAUACGGUUUUAAUGAAAUCAGUCUCAUUACUUAACGCCAACAGGGCCAACGAUAAUAUUGAUGUUUCUUGGUAUCUUGCAGAAAAAAAAUCUAGAGAAUUUAUCUAAAUGAAGAAUAAAAUUCAAAAUGCUUUAAGCCCAAUAAAAGUGACACAUGGGCAAACUUAUCCGGUUCACCUGACAAUUGAUUUGACGAAAACUGUCGCGAAGCAAUUGCAGCCAUGCGGGAAAACUACAGGGGGAAGAAGCCAGUGAGAGACACCUUUUCAAGCGGAGAAGACGAGAAUAGGAAAUGAGCGCGCGUGGUCAACCAUCGACCCAAGAUGCGCAGUGCACCCCGCCAUUUAGAAAUUGCGAAAUAAAAGUCGCAAAUAUGCUUAUAAAGAACAAAAACGCAGUCGGAGCUGACGGACUGCCUGUUAAGUUGUUCAAGGCUGGCAGAGGUGAGCUUAUAGGGUGCAUGUAUCAGCUUCUCUGCAAAAUAUGGCUAGCGGAAUGCAUGCUCGAUGAUUGCAAUCUCUGUAACCUUUGUCCUCUAUUGACGAUAUGCGCCAACUACCGGAAAAUCAGACUUAUUGCAAUUUUCUACAAGGUCCGGUAUAGCUUUUUGUGGGAAAGGCUAAAGCUGUUUGAAAACAUAUUGAUUGGACCAUAUCAGUGUAACUUUAGACUUGAUAAAUUAACUAUCGAACUGAAUUACAUAUGACGCCCAAUCCAAGCACCUACAAAAAACAGCUCGACCCAUCAUCACUUUUUCGAUUAUACCAUAUUCCAGUAAGCUAAUGUGUAGUUGAGUUCUCUUAUAUGGGGUUACGUUGCAAACGGAUGCAAACGCGUUUGGAGUGUUCGAGAGAAAAAUAUAUGUCGCAGAAUCUUCAGUUGAACAGCGAACUGUACGACUUUUACGAUGACGUCGAUAUUCUUAGGGUCAUCGAAAUACAACGUUUGCGCUGGCUGAUUUAAGCUCAAGCGAUGAAGAUUGGGGAGGAAAGGGACGAAUUAAGGGGAACACCUAGUGUGAAAUUUCAAAAAAAUCGAUCUGUUUCAUAUUUCGGUAGAAUACACAUUUAAAAAUAA
rnacentral:misc_RNA from 1 species